UACAGAGGUGGCAAGCGUUGUUCGGAAUUACUGGGCGUAAAGGGCGCGUAGGCGGCCAUCUAAGUCAGACGUGAAAUCCCCCGGCUUAACCUGGGAACUGCGUCUGAUACUGGACGGCUUGAGUAUGGGAGAGGGAUGUAGAAUUCCAGGUGUAGCGGUGAAAUGCGUAGAUAUCUGGAGGAAUACCGGUGGCGAAGGCGGCAUCCUGGACCGACACUGACGCUGAGGCGCGAAAGCUAGGGUAGCAAACGGG
rnacentral:rRNA from 1 species